rnacentral:rRNA from 1 species
GUAGGUGAACCUGCGGAAGGAUCAUUACCUAGAGUUUGUAGACUUCGGUCUGCUACCUCUUACCCAUGUCUUUUGAGUACCUUCGUUUCCUCGGCGGGUCCGCCCGCCGAUUGGACAACAUUCAAACCCUUUGCAGUUGCAAUCAGCGUCUGAAAAAACAUAAUAGUUACUACUUUCAACAACGGAUCUCUUGGUUCUGGCAUCGAUGAAGAACGCAGCGAAAUGCGAUAAGUAGUGUGAAUUGCAGAAUUCAGUGAAUCAUCGAAUCUUUGAACGCACAUUGCGCCCCUUGGUAUUCCAUGGGGCAUGCCUGUUCGAGCGUCAUUUGUACCUUCAAGCUCUGCUUGGUGUUGGGUGUUUGUCUCGCCUCUGCGUGUUGACUCGCCUUAAAACAAUUGGCAGCCGGCGUAUUGAUUUCGGAGCGCAGUACAUCUCGCGCUUUGCACUCAUAACGACGACGUCCAAAAGUACAUUUUUACACUCUUGACCUCGGAUCAGGUAGGGAUACCCGCUGAACUUA